rnacentral:rRNA from 1 species
UACAGAGGGUGCGAGCGUUGUUCGGAAUUAUUGGGCGUAAAGGGCGCGUAGGCGGUUUGUACAGUCAGGUGUGAAAUUCCCGGGCUCAACCUGGGGGCUGCACUUGAUACGUAGGAACUGGAGUGGGGAAGAGGGUCGUGGAAUUCCCAGUGUAGAGGUGAAAUUCGUAGAUAUUGGGAAGAACACCGGUGGCGAAGGCGGCGACCUGGUCCUUGACUGACGCUGAGGCGCGAAAGCCAGGGGGGCAAACGGG